rnacentral:rRNA from 1 species
AGAGUUUGAUCAUGGCUCAGGACGAACGCUGGCGGCGUGCUUAACACAUGCAAGUCGAACGGUAAGGCCCUUCGGGGUACACGAGUGGCGAACGGGUGAGUAACACGUGGGUGAUCUGCCCUGCACUUUGGGAUAAGCCUGGGAAACUGGGUCUAAUACCGAAUAUGACCUCGAGAUGCAUGUCUUGGGGUGGAAAGCUUUUGCGGUGUGGGAUGGGCCCGCGGCCUAUCAGCUUGUUGGUGGGGUGAUGGCCUACCAAGGCGACGACGGGUAGCCGGCCUGAGAGGGUGACCGGCCACACUGGGACUGAGAUACGGCCCAGACUCCUACGGGAGGCAGCAGUGGGGAAUAUUGCACAAUGGGCGCAAGCCUGAUGCAGCGACGCCGCGUGGGGGAUGACGGCCUUCGGGUUGUAAACCUCUUUCAGUAGGGACGAAGCGCAAGUGACGGUACCUAUAGAAGAAGGACCGGCCAACUACGUGCCAGCAGCCGCGGUA